rnacentral:rRNA from 1 species
UCGGGAAUUUUGGGCAAUGGGCGAAAGCCUGACCCAGCAACGCCGCGUGAAGGAUGAAGUAUUUCGGUAUGUAAACUUCGAAAGAAUAGGAAGAAUAAAUGACGGUACUAUUUAUAAGGUCCGGCUAACUACGUGCCAGCAGUCGCGGUAAUACGUAGGGUGCGAGCGUUAAUCGGAAUUACUGGGCGUAAAGCGUGCGCAGGCGGCGACAUAAGACAGAUGUGAAAUCCCCGGGCUCAACCUGGGAACUGCGUUUGUGACUGUGUUGCUAGAGUGUAGCAGAGGGGGGUGGAAUUCCACGUGUAGCAGUGAAAUGCGUAGAGAUGUGGAGGAACACCGAUGGCGAAGGCAGCCCCCUGGGUUAACACUGGCGCUCAUGCACGAAAGCGUGGGGAGCAAACAGGAUUAGAUACCCAGGUAGUCCCUGAGCGGGCUGGCAAGGCGCAU